rnacentral:rRNA from 1 species
AGCGAACGCUGGCGGCAGGCCUAACACAUGCAAGUCGAACGAACCUUUCGGGGUUAGUGGCGGACGGGUGAGUAACACGUGGGAACGUGCCUUUAGGUUCGGAAUAACUCAGGGAAACUUGUGCUAAUACCGAAUGUGCCCUUCGGGGGAAAGAUUUAUCGCCUUUAGAGCGGCCCGCGUCUGAUUAGCUAGUUGGUUGAGGUAAUGGCUCACCAAGGCGACGAUCAGUAGCUGGUCCGAGAGGAUGAUCAGCCACAUUGGGACUGAGACACGGCCCAAACUCCUACGGGAGGCAGCAGUGGGGAAUCUUGCGCAAUGGGCGAAAGCCUGACGCAGCCAUGCCGCGUGAAUGAUGAAGGUCUUAGGAUUGUAAAAUUCUUUCACCGGGGACGAUAAGGACGGUACCCGGAGAAGAAGCCCCGGCUAACUUCGU